ACGUUAGGUAGGUAAGGUCACGGGAAGACGACCCGUUAAUAGGUGUUAGGUGGAAGUGCAGUAAUGUAUGGAGCCUAGACAUACUAACAGACCGAGGGCUUGACCUC
rnacentral:rRNA from 1 species